GUGGCUUUCUCUUUACCCUUAUCACUAUCCCUUUUGUGUUGUUCGAGAGUUUGUCGAAUAACACCAGUAAGUUUAUCCAAAAGUCGCGCCUCACGAGGGGAUAUUGGAGUAUCUCCCUCAUUAAGAUGAAGAUCUCCACCCACAUCUGGUGUAUGACUACCCUCCUGCUCAGUCAUUGCUCUGAAAAAUUUGGAGUAACAUAACACGUAAGAAUAUAAGGAUUUAUCAUUACCCAACACCCCACUUAAGUCUUUCCUAUGGUUUGUAUCCAUAUAUGGACAAUGAAUAUGUUCAUAUAUUGAACUUCCAACAGUUUAAGUCUAAAUACCAGUUCGUGGUAUUUAGUUCACUUAAACUAGUGCUCUGAUACCAUGAUUGAAAGACCCCAUUCACUAAAAUUACCAUAAAGGCAAACAUGCUACAUGCAUAUUCAUAAUUAUAAUUCACACUAGUGGUCUACAAAAGCAUGGAUACAAACCAACUAAAAGGGUUUUUACAAAGUUUCAUAACUAGUUGUAUAAACACAUAACUACCCAUGAAUUUAUAAUCCAUAUACAUAUAUGUAUACCAAGUAAAAACAUAGUAGUGUCAACUACUAUAAGUCCUCCAACAAAGCCUGUUUACUUUGGAUGCUUAUCACCUGAAAUAGUUAAACACUGAAAGGGAUAAGCGGGCGUCGCUUAGUGAGUUCAAAAAAAUAGAUACAAUAUAACGCUAUGCCAUAUACAUAACAAUAUGACAGGAACAAAAAGAAACAAAGGACAACAAAGGCUUAUAUGUGUAUCAAAUGAAGGGCUUUACAAAUCAAUAAACGGUUAGAUUCAAGGGAUUACAAUCAAUGAGACACAAUAAUUUAGGAUCAUAAACAUCAUAAAUUCCAGCCCAAGAGGCAUUUAAAACACAAUCCCUUUUAAUCAUGUUGCUAGAAUAUACAGGCUUUCAGCCUUACCUAGCCCGAAGCCAAUACCAAAGUGAUACGAGUCAUGCUCUACAUGGUCAAAGGCACAAAGCCAAUACCAAAGUGAUACGAGUCAUGCUCUACAUGGCCAAAGGCAUCAAAAUCAAUAUCAAGUAAUAACCACUUAGAUCAAUAACACAAGAAAGCACAUUGCACAUAUAACACAUAACAUACAAUUGUCCCUAUAUUGAACUCACUGUGCUGUAACCGAAUGUUGCGAUAAAAUUCCUCUUUUUUUCUGAUGAAAUUACACCAUCCUCAGGCCUCUAAAACCUCCAAUUAUACCCCUGGAGUUCAUAUUUCAAAUUUCAUAAGCAAUUACUUAACUACUCUCAAGUUAUGUUGUUUUCAAUUUAGAAAUUUUAGUUUUUGUUCUUUGUAUAGCUGUCACUUGCAGAUCUGUUUUACCCUUCUUAAAUGUCAAAAUAACUAAUAAAUUAUAAAUAUUAACAAAAUAGACUCUUAUAUCUUUCUAAUGCCACUGACCUCACAUUUUUAUGGUUUUUCUAUAAUUUACUAUGAAUUUUACAAAACAGUAUCCUAAAGCUGUCAAAAUGUCCCAAAGCUGUCAAAAUUCAGCCUUACUGCACUGAACAUAUAGCUGUUUUCACCCAUCUUAAGUCCGGAAUUAGAUUUUGGUAUUAAAACAAAAAUCAAAGUAGACAUUCUCAGCUUUCCAGGGAUAUAUAGCACAUCUCCAUACGAUUUUUCUACAAUUUUUGGUGAUUUUUACAAAAACAGGACAAUUAUACCCUUUAUAAUUUCAUUUUACCCUUUACAUGAUCAAACCUCAUGAUCAAUAUCACCAAGCUCUUCUUUUACAAUGAUAAAACUGAAUAUUUUAGUAAUCCAUUCUAAUUCAAGUAUAAACCAUGGGUUUCAUUACUAAUUUUCACUAAUUACUCUUAAACCAUAUGAUUAAUUCUCAAGUUUACAUGUAGUUACUUGAUUUCCAUUUAAGAUUCUAGGUUAAUAACAUAAACUCAUACCUAAUUUCAUUAAAUCAGUGGUAAACCCACUUUGAUCAAACCCUAAUCUCUUAAUAACUCACUAAUUACAAGGGUUAAUCAAAUAAUUAAGAGUUCAUACCUUGAUUACUAGACUUGAUACUUCAAGAACACUCAAAAUCUUGAUUUAAUCUUCAAAACUUGAUCAAGAUUGAUCAUGUAUGUGAAAAUCUCCCAUAGGGAUGGUGAGG
rnacentral:lncRNA from 1 species